GACGAACGCUGGCGGCGUGCUUAACACAUGCAAGUCGAACGGAAAGGCCCUGCUGUUGUGGGGUGCUCGAGUGGCGAACGGGUGAGUAACACGUGAGUAACCUGCCCUUGACUUUGGGAUAACUUCAGGAAACUGGGGCUAAUACCGGAUAGGAGCUCCUGCUGCAUGGUGGGGGUUGGAAAGUUUCGGCGGUUGGGGAUGGACUCGCGGCUUAUCAGCUUGUUGGUGGGGUAGUGGCUUACCAAGGCUUUGACGGGUAGCCGGCCUGAGAGGGUGACCGGGCACAUUGGGACUGAGAUACGGCCCAGACUGCUACGGGAGGCAGCAGUGGGGAAUAUUGCACAAUGGGCGGAAGCAUGAUGCAGCAACGCCGCGUGCGGGAUGACGGCCUUCGGGUUGUAAACCGCUUUCGCCUGUGACGAAGCGUGAGUGACGGUAAUGGGUAAAGAAGCACCGGCUAACUACGUG
rnacentral:rRNA from 1 species